UACGCUGGGUGCACACAAGGGCGGCACACACACUCGCCUGCACGUUACCCUCUUAGUCUUUUCGUGUCGUUUCACACAAGCCCAGAGACAAGAGAAAGAAAAAACGACAGACGCACUCAUUCACAUACUUCCCCGUUCUUGCAACUUGACAAUCAUGCGCGGCGGGCGCGGUGGCUUCGGUGGACGCGGUGGUGGCGGUCGCGGUGGUGGUGGCCGUGGCGGCGGCCGUGGCGGUGGACGUGGUAGCGGUCGCGGUGGCGGCCGUGGUAGUGGCCGCGGCGGUGGGCGUGGCGGUCGUGGAGGUGCGGGUACGCCGAAGGGCAACAUCUUCCACCCGCAUGCCCGCUUCAACGGCUGCUACCUCUUGGCAGGCAAGGACACUCUCUCCACGCGGUCGCUGGUCCCUGGCGUGUCGGUGUACAGCGAGAAGCGUGUGAACGGCACGGUGGCCGGCGAGUCUGAGUCACACGAGUUCCGCGUAUGGAACCCGUACCGCUCCAAGCUAGCGUCCGCGAUCUACGCUGGUGUAGCGAGCAUAUACAUGGAGCCUGGUUCUGCCGUGCUGUACCUCGGCGCAGCCAGCGGCACCACUGUUAGCCACGUCUCGGACCUUGUCGGACCGGAGGGCGUCGUGUACGCGGUAGAGUUCUCGCACCGCAGCGGCCGUGACCUGGAAGAGAUGACGAAGCGCCGCAGCAACAUCGUCCCCAUCCUGGAGGAUGCCCGCUACCCGCAGAAGUACCGCAUGCUCAUUCCCCGCCUGGUGGACUGCAUCUUCAUGGACGUCGCCCAGCCGGAUCAGGCGCGCAUUCUAGCCCUCAACGCCCAGCACUUCUUGAAGGCGAACGGUGGCUUUGUGAUUUCGAUCAAGGCGAACUGCAUCGAUUCCACGGCGGAUCCGGCAGCGGUGUUUGCGUCCGAGGUUCAGAAGCUGAAGGAUUCCGGCCUCCGCCCAAAGGAGCAGGUCUCACUAGAGCCCUUCGAGCGCGACCACUGCGUCGUCACGGGCUACUACAAGAACGUUCCACAGGCGACGUGAAAGGCCGUGCCUCAUCCACGAAGCACUCAUCCGAUGGAUCCCGGCCCUGCUGUUCCUCUCGGCACGGCUUUCGAUGUUAUGUUGCGUGCGGGGGUGGCUGCGCGAUGCCAGUCCAAGGGCCACGGAGACCCAGCUGUGACGAAGUGGCGGCUCGGCGGCAGUGUCGAGGGGACGUGCUGAAUGCCAUCCAAGUGCGCACAUGCCUGUGUGUCUGUGCACGGUCGUGUGUUGUUGUGUAAUGGAAGGAGAGCAAGGGUAACGAAAGCGCCCAGACGCAAGAGAGCAUGAUUGAGAGGGCAGGACCAUUAAAAGAGGGCAGAGCGCCAUGCCAUUUUAGUCUUCCUUUUUUUUGUUUCUCUUCUCCCGCGAUCUAUGUGAAACAGAGAAAAGGCGUGCGUGAGAGAGGCAAGAGCGAGAGGUGGCAUGCAGAGGAGGAAAAGGAGCGCCUCAUCUUGUGCAGUAGUGGUAGUGGUGCCGCCCCUUCUUGUUUGCUUCGUCACUCAUGCACACGCACGCACACGCACCAUCUCUCUCUCGCAGCUCAGCUCAAUAAAUUGUCCUCCUUUCUCUUCUCUUGCGCAUGCGGUGCAUGUGUGCGGUUCUCUUUUGUUUGAACGAUAAUGGAGAAGAAAACGAAAAAAAAAAUAUUUCUCUCCUCUAACACCUGCGACGUAAUCGACACUUUUUUCUUCUUUGUCUCCUCGUCCUUGUGAUGUGGCUAUGAUGACGGCUGUGAAAGGGUGGCGUGUCUCCUCGUGCUCAUCUCACCCCCUCCCCCCAAAACAGAAAGACUUAGGCGCAACAGCGAAAGACAACAAACACGCACGCACAC
rnacentral:misc_RNA from 1 species